CCGGUAUUUCACUCUUGGAUCCCUGGUCCCAGGGAGAUGAGCUGCCUGGUGGGGCACCCUUCAACCAGGGUUCUAGCUGGCCCCCUCAUCAUGCCACAGAUGAUGUUGGCUGAGGAAGCCCCUGUGGAUUCCAGUGCAUGGGAUGUCGUCACCACAGGAAGACCGCUUGAGAAUCAGUGCCAUGGUACAGGGACUGUGAUCAAGGCCCCAGUGGCCCAUGAGCUGAUAGGGCCUGCCCCUUGAGAGAAAAUGCCAAUGACUACCAAAUAUAAGCCAAUCAAUCAGAACCCUGGUAUGGGAUGGCAGCAAGACAUUUUCAUGGGUUGUUGCUGGGGUGGGUCAAUGAUGAGACCUCAUAUUGUCUCAAGGAGAUGUUGAAGACUUAAAAAUCAUAUUCAGUAGAAUUACGCUAAGGUCCAGCCUAGUGACAGUGGGUCAAGAGGACCCUGGGAUAACCAGAUGUUUUCCAGGGGUGGUGACCCUAGAGAUUGAAGAUCUUUUUGCCCCCCAGGGGAGGUCAGUGUCUACAGGUAGGAGCAGCUGCCUGUGCUGGAUGCACCCAAAGUUCUUCCUCCUUUGGCUUGGUGUGUACUCCCUAAGUGUGAAUUACUAGGCAGCACUGGGUGCUUCUUUUUCACUCCCUUUCACCCCCUUGUGCCUUUCAGUGAGAUGUGCUGCCUGACAAGGCACCCUUGGUACUGGGGUUCUAGGUGAGUGGAUGUAGAAUGUCAUUAGGCCUGUGUGGGGCAUCCGGUGACCUGGGCAUGGACCCAGUGGGAGCCUGAGGGGUAGACUCAGAGAGAAACAGGGAGGCAGCCUCAUGCAGUGCUCCUGAGCGAGCUGUGCCUCUUUAAGCUCUUAGGUGCAAAACAACUCACGUGAACCAAUGGCCUGGUGCAGGGGAAAAGUGAGGAAUGGAAAGAAUUCCUGAGGGAGUGUUCAUGUGGGUCCAGUGCCUCAACAUUUCCUAGGUGGGCUGUAGUGGCUCUGGAUUGCCCAGCCUGUGUGACUGGAUGUGGGCAGACACUGAGGAAUAGGCCUCUAAGUGGAGCAGGACACAAAUUCACUAGGAGCCCCAGACCAAGGGAAACACGAAAGCAGUGAGGAGGUUUGCCUGGAAGCCUGGGAAAUUCACGUGGGUGGUGGUUAAGCUGGAGCCUAGGCUACACUAUUGCUCUGGCUGAUACCUGGUAGGGGGAUCCCAACCAGGUAUUCCCUAGAAAACUGUGCCAGGCAAGUAACAUGCCACUGAGUGCCUCAACCAGGGAUGGCUGCUCAAGGGCCACAUGAGUGCACCUCAGCCUCAGUUGAGUGCCUCAAGGAUGCCAGAGACCCUCCUGGGCAUGGGCUUCUUCUCCAUGGGAGUCUCCAAGUCCCCAGGGGAGGACUGCACCAUGGUACAGCCCCAUGACUGCACCAUCUUUGGGAUUUGUAUGUGAAUCCAGGGGACAGUGACCACAGCAGGAAUGUAUCUCCAAGUGGUAGAGAAUGAGCUUCCAGGAUGCAGUCUGUGCAUGCAGCCUGGCCCUCAGCACCCUGGCCUGGACUGGGAUGCCAUGUUUCUAGGGCUAGGACCAAAAGAGGGCCUCCUUGAGUGUGUCUCACAUGAUCAGUUUUCAAACGCCAAGGCUGUGCCAGUGCUUGCUUGUCCAGCCCAGGUACUGGCCUGGACCUGGGUCACUGGGGCAGGAUGGAGCAUUGGGGGAAGCCACAUCUCUCAGUGAGACCCAUCCUAUGUGUCCCUCUUGGUCCAGUUACCAACAGGUCCAGCCAUCCACACGUGAUGUGGGAGAAGCUUGUCAAAAUGCCACGCCUAGAGGGUGGGCUCCUAGGAAUUGAAACUGGGCUGGUAGGGCCAAAGCGUGCAUUGGAACCAGUGUACUCUACUGUUCCUACUGUCUGUUCACAGUUGUCACCUUCCCUGUCUAUAUAUGAUGUCACCAAAUGAUGCCCCUGUGAGUUUCACUACCAGGGUGGAAAGGGCUGUGAUUGAGGCCCAAGCAGCCCAUGAGCUGGAAGUGUCAUCCCUGUUGGAGUAGGAAACAUCCAUGACUUCCAAUGGUAAACUAAUCCAUGAAGGUCCUGAAUUUUGGUUGGUGAAGGGAUGUCCUUUGUAGUGGUUCCUGAGGUUGGGUCGAUGAUGAGACCUCAUACUGUCUUGAAGAGAGAUGAUGACUUAAAAAUCAUGCUCAAUAGGAUUACCCUGAGGCCCAGCUAGUGACAAUGGUGUAAGAAGACCCUGGGAUAACCAGGUGUUUUUAGGGGAGUAGACUCUGGGGACUGGCCACUUCCUGGCUUCACUGGUCAAGACAUACUCCAUAGACAGAAACUCCUUAUGUCGGAUGCACCAAGUUUCUUCUUCCUUAGGCUUGGUUUGUGCUGUCAGUUGCAGAGCCAUGCUGGGGGCUCCUUCCUCAGCUCCUUUCUUCCCCUUCUGUCUUUCAGUGAGUAGAGCAGCCUGGUGGGGCAACCUUUCAACAGACUUCACAGAUGAAGUCACGAAAAGAAGCCCCUGUGUGGUUCAGUGCCUCAGGGACAAGUGCUGUAUCAAAGCCUCAGUGGACCGUGAGCUGCUGGUGCCAGCCCCCUGGACC